CCGAACACAUGUCACUCUGGAAGGGAGACAGCAGCAACCAGGCUGUGCAAGUGAGUGGUGGAAGACGAAGGAUCUCUGAAGCCUCAUCAGUCAUCGGGACCAUCAGGAAUAGUGGUUUAAGAGGACGCUCGGCCUGGGGCACCAUACCGUGUCAUCGAGUUCCCUGCCUCGGAGAUAAAGAUUCCAGCUACAUGGGUAAACGCCUGGAUCAGCCACAAAUGUACCCCCAGUACACUUACUACUAUCCUCACUGUCUCUAAACCAAGUCACACAGAGAGAAAGAGAGGCACAGGCAGAGGGAGAAGCAGGCUCCAUGCACCGGGAGC